rnacentral:rRNA from 1 species
UAAUACGGAGGGUGCAAGCGUUAAUCGGAAUUACUGGGCGUAAAGCGCACGCAGGCGGUUUGUUAAGUCAGAUGUGAAAUCCCCGGGCUCAACCUGGGAACUGCAUUUGAAACUGGCAAGCUAGAGUCUCGUAGAGGGGGGUAGAAUUCCAGGUGUAGCGGUGAAAUGCGUAGAGAUCUGGAGGAAUACCGGUGGCGAAGGCGGCCCCCUGGACGAAGACUGACGCUCAGGUGCGAAAGCGCGGGGAGCAAACAGGAUUAGAUACCCUGGUAGUCCACGCUGUAAACGAUGUCGAUUUGGAGGUUGUGCCCUUGAGGCGUGGCUUCCGGAGCUAACGCGUUAAAUCGACCGCCUGGGGAGUACGGCCGCAAGGUUA